AAUUUUGGACAAUGUGGGAAACCCUGAUCCAGCCAUCCCGCGUGUAUGAUGAAGGCCUUCGUGUUGUAAAGUACUUGUGGCAGAGAAUAAAAGGUAUCCCCUAAUACGUGAUACUGCUGACGGUAUCUGCAGAAUAAGCACCUGCUAACUACGUGCAAGAAGACGCGGUAAUCCGUAGGGUGCCAGCGUUAAUCGGAAUUACUGGGCGUAAAGCGUGUGUAGGAGGUUCGGAAAGAAAGAUGUGACAUCCCAGGGCUCAACCUUGGAACUGCAUUUUUAACUGCCGAGCUAGAGUAUGUCAGAGGGGGGUAGAAUUCCACGUGUAGCAGUGAAAUGCGUAGAUACGUGGAGGAAUACCGAUGGCGAAGGCAGCCCCCUGGGAUAAUACUGACGCUCAGACACGAAAGCGUGGGGAGCAAACAGG
rnacentral:rRNA from 1 species